rnacentral:lncRNA from 1 species
ACACAUCUGGGUUGUGUUCUUGGUGAUAAGCCAUCCCAAUCUGCAGAACAGCAGCACUGCCUUCUAGAAAUGCAAAUUAGCCAUUAGGGAUAGUCCAGGAAAUUACCUUGUCAGUUACCUAGAACAGGAUGUGUAUGUGCUUGUGGUCAAAAAAUGUUUAUUUAAAAAUUAACUCGGGGCUGGGGAGAUGACUGUGUGGGAGUGUUUGCCGCAUAGUCAUGAGGACUAACCAGAUUCCUAGUACCCAUGUAAAAUGUGUUCAUUCUGUCAGGAAUGGAGAAAGGCAAGUAGCAAGUCAGGCUGUGAGGAUGGAUGGGUGGCAAGGUCCGGGUGAGAAAUCCUGUCCAUGAGAUAGACAAAUAACAGAUCAAGAAACCUGACAUUGUCUUCUGACCCCUGUGCCUACCCCUCCCGACACACACAUGAGAUACAUGUCACACACACUAGAGUAAAACAUGAAAAAAAAAUUAACUCAUAUGCUCGUUUGCUAGUCUGAUUGCCACAUUAGCUCAUUGACACCAGUCUCCACAGAUCCCAGAGGAAGGUGUUAGAGUCUGUCACCCACAGGGUCCAGGAAUGGGACUUGUCAUGGCGGCCAGGGAAUUCUAGAUAGUGUCCUAAAAAUAGGAGAAAGGGGUUUCCAAGCUAAGGAGGGAGGCAGGCAGGAAGACUUAAAUCUUUCUACCUUCCAUUCAGCACUGGUCCAAAUUCCAAGUAAAAAAAAAUAUUUUAA